rnacentral:rRNA from 1 species
GACGAACGCUGGCGGCGUGCCUAAUACAUGCAAGUAGAACGCACAGUUUAUACCGUAGCUUGCUACACCAUAGACUGUGAGUUGCGAACGGGUGAGUAACGCGUAGGUAACCUGCCUGGUAGCGGGGGAUAACUAUUGGAUACGAUAGCUAAUACCGCAUAAUAUUAAUUAUUGCAUGAUAAUUAAUUGAAAGGUGCAAUUGCACCACUACCAGAUGGACCUGCGUUGUAUUAGCUAGUAGGUGAGGUAACGGCUCACCUAGGCGACGAUACAUAGCCGACCUGAGAGGGUGAUCGGCCACACUGGGACUGAGACACGGCCCAGACUCCUACGGGAGGCAGCAGUAGGGAAUCUUCGGCAAUGGACGAAAGUCUGACCGAGCAACGCCGCGUGAGUGAAGAAGGUUUUCGGAUCGUAAAGCUCUGUUGUAAGAGAAGAACGGGUGUGAGAGUGGAAAGUUCACACUGUGACGGUAUCUUACCAGAAAGGGACGGCUAACUACGUG